CUGUCUGCACCAUGGAGAGAAUGAGAGUGCUGCUGGACACCAUCACUGCCAUUUACCAACAAUUCAAGAAGGACCAAGCAGAAAGACAUAAGACUGGCUUCCCUCCACAGCAGGACAGGACAUGGUGGAGGUCACCAGCUGACCCCUGACCUCCUCUGUGUUUUCAGGUCUGCUGAACUUUGAGGAGAAUAGACACGAGUCUCAUAAGUAAGUAAAGAAACAUGGAUGACCAGGAUACAGCUAUCUGGUUCUGUUCUGACCCAGCCCGGGUCGGCCCGGCUCUACAGAAUAGCCAGAGUGCAUCGAGUGAAUUAAGGAUCAAAAAUAUGAGAAAUCUGAUGGAGCAUUAAAUAUUCUUUUAACCUGGCUUUAAUCUGAUGAUCGAAGCUCAGUGGAGUGGCUGGUUCCGGUUCUGACUGGUUCUGGCCCGGUUCCUUCAACUAGCAGAAGUUGGUAAUCCAAGCUAGCGAAGCUUGGUCUCUUUUCACCCAUGAGUGCUCCUUGAAGUACAGGCUCUACCUCUCAGACAGCGAGGACUGGUUGAGGUACGGUCUGGCUCUUGUCCUGGUCCCCUGGUUCUGGUCCAGUGACCCGGUUGUCCCUCUGUCUGCAGGAAGGUCCACCAUGUACAGAAGCAGCUGGCCAGCCUGUCGGCUGAGAUGAUCAGCAAGGAGAAGUUGGUGACAAUGCUGCUGGACCGGGGCAUGUAGGUGGACCCUGACCCGGAACCAUCUCGCCUCCUCGUCCUCAGGUUACCAUGGCAACCGAGCCAACGAGCCUCCUUUCCUCUCGCUCUGGUUGCCAUGGUAACCAGCCGAGCCUGUGUGUGGUUGUAACUGCAGGAACUGCUUCCCGAGACGGUUCUGCCUCUAGUUUCGAGCGUGACGAAGGCCCAGCCGGAACCCAGCCCCCGUCACAAAGGAGGAGAUGGCACUGGGGAUGAGGAACUUCCUAAGGAAGGAUGUUUUUCCAUCACCGUCAAGAUGCUGAGGGAGAAAAACGGUCCGGAUCAGAACCCGACCUCUGAGACACCGAGGGCCUUUAGCAGAACGUGUAGUCAUGGUGUUUUCUUUUAAAUACUGCCAGCAGCCCGGCUGCAUCCAUCUGUCGGGUCAGAUAAAUAUAAUCUGCAUCACAGCAUUAUGCUGCCACAAACUCUUGGAAUUAUUAGCUAAUCCUGCAGCUCAGAAUUGGCAUUAGUGGAUGAUAUUACUCGUCUAGUUUUUUGCUUUCAUUUUAUUAUUUUUAAUGUUCUAAAUAUGUUGACAUUGUUUCAGUCAUUGUAUCAAUCCCUCCUCGUCACAGUGACGGCAGACCCCCAGAUGUGCUAAAUACAUUUCUGCUCAAGCUAUUUACGGAUCUGUCAGGUUUCCAAUAUGUGUCUCCCCCACCCCAAUGAUGAACUCAUUCCUACACCCUUGCAUGUGGUGACACAACUACAGCACAGGGUUGGGGGGUAUUAGUGGAACAAGGGCUUAUAGUUGUUGCCUAAGAGACGAGCUCAAUCGCUCAGGCCGACACACUGCACUCAGCGGGUCACCCUCUGUCUGUGCUCAGGCAUCGAUCACGCAGUCCCAGGGUCUCGCCCCCUGCUUACUGAUUCUCCUCAGAUGAUGCUGGUGAUCUUCGCUACUGUAAAAUACCCAAAAAAGAAAAAGAGAAAAAA